UUUCUUAUUUCCUUUUCGAUAUUUAUCUAUUUUUAUCUGUAUUGGUUGAAUAAAUGUGGUGUUGCAUUGUCAUCACGUUUCAUUACACGUUGCUCACACGUGUUGUUUCUUCUACAAAUUUCUGGCCUUCCACCGACUACCCGACACCUUUUCACUUUCCUUCCCUUCCAUUACUCAUUCAUUCCUUCCUCGAAUACUCCUCUCCCAUCGUCUAUUCAAAAACCCUAUUAUCGCUCCUUUCACCUCCUCUCAUAUCCGUCGUCAUCCUCUGGUGGCUUCCCGUUUUCUAUUCCCGAUUCCCUCAAUUAGGGUUGGGUUUGUUGUCUUCAUCAGUAAUGCCACCAGUUGAUGUUUCUGGUCUAAAUCGAUGUCACUAUUCUUCCAAUCUUUUUCUAUUCUACGGUUCAGGCGAAACAGUCAUAGACCGAAGGACAACAAACCGGCACGUCGUCCCAGCCUACGGCGGCUCCAUCGCCUAUUUCGUUUAUCUGGGUUUCCAACGACUAUGGGGUUGGUGAAUCGGACACUUGAUUUUGGUUUUUUAAUUUAGAUGAUUUUUUCUACCGAUUCGUUGCAGCUCAACAAUCCUCGGUUUCUUGUCGAUUUUGCGUCCUCUUCGUUCCCUCUGUUCCAAGAUCCACCAUAUCAUCAUCUCCGGAGGAAUCGACUGUACCUUAAACAAUCAGACGGUGCCGCCCUUCCCAACAAAUCUAACUCUCAGUUUCGGGUAUGUAUGUGCAGGAGUUUUAAAUUGCAAUGUGGAGAAGGAGAAUUUAAUAAAAAUCAUGGUCUUACUUGGCACUCUAUCGUCGGCAAAAGCUUCAGUAACAAGCGGUGCUUUCUUCUGUUAUUCAUCAGUUCCAUGUGAAUGUUCUUGAUGCACAUCAAGUGCUUGGUGAAAUUCUUCAAAGAACCAGUAAGAUUACUUUUUCAGCAUCGACUACAUAAUCUUCUUACUCAUGGUGUUUCAUAUAACUUUUUAGUGGUUUACAUUUGACUUUGGAGGGUAGUAUUGGAAAGCAAGACGGGUAAGUGUUCAAACAAUUAGAAUUCAGGAAAAACAUGUUUCAAAGUCAAACAUGUACUCAUAUAAAUUCACUCUCAACUUCAUGAACGACUGGUUAAUCGAUCCUCCUCCAUUAAUCAAUUACUUACUUUUUGAUUUUUUUUUUUUAUUUCUUGGUGUUUUUCAAUCUUAUUGAACAAAAAUAUAAGAAGUUAUAAAAGACUUCUUUUAUUGAGAUUUCUUCCUUUACUCAUUCCUGACUUUGACUUUAUUCACACUAUUUGUCAAUAUUUCAGGCUACAUACUCCCUCCCUGAAACUUAUAUCAAGAGUUGAGUUCAAGUUUAUCAAGUUCAGCAUCAACUAUUUUCUACAUUUUUUCGUAUUUCAACAUGCUACUUACAACUCUCUUUCCAGCAAAAACCCUUAAAAAAGGUUUUUUUUUUUUUUUUUUUGGAAAAAAAACAAACCAAAUUAUGGUUCCAACAAACUGGGUUUGAACGAUAAUUAGUUAAACCAUGGCACAUGGCAUAAUUAGUUAAACCAUAUAAAUAUUUGGGUUUGAACGAUAAUUAGUUAAUAUGCAUACUUCUUAUAUAAUUUCGACGAGUUUGAAUAUCUUUUUGAAAUUAUUUUUACAAGGUUAGUGUGAACAUUCUGAUGGGAUUAUAAUACAAGUUGGUUGUUUUGUUC